UAAGCAAAUGUUGAUAUUUUUCACUAGCGAGUCUCUCAAGAAGAGAAGGCAGUGGUGGGACCCUGGCUUCUUGCCUUGUUCGUCUUUGUAGUAUGUGGAUCAGCGAUAUUCCAGAUCAUUCAGAGCAUCCGGAUGGGAAUGUGAGCGGUCAUCGGCAUUGUACAUCAGUUUGUUCUCUUUCCUGAAGUUCACUUGAUCAGUCCUCUUUUCUUAUUUAAUCUUCAUCUUUCACCACAACACCACAGUCUCUUGUGUCUUACUCAAAAGCUGGAGGAACAUUCUCUUCUGAAACAUUACAAUAUUGCUGGCAAUAAACUCCAAUGACCGUUUGAACUUUUUCUGUGGAAAAAAACACACGUUUGUUUAAAUGAAUGUUGCAUUGAAUUUUCUAUGUUGUAGGGUUUGGACCAGUUCAUGUUCAUUGUUAACAUUAUUCGGUACUGUGCACCUUUGGUUGGGCUUUCCUCUACAUUUAGAGCUGAAUUUGUGUUCUUUGAUUACUUUGACAAGGAAGCGAAGGUCCACAUAUUCAGUUGUAUGUGUAGAGAACAUGAAAAACAAUAAAAAAGACUUAAAAUGUC